GGGAUUGUGGCUCAGUGGUAGAGUGCUUGCCUGGCAUGUGAGGCCCUGGGUUCGAUCCUCAGCACCA
rnacentral:tRNA from 1 species